GAUGAACGCUGGCGGCGUGCCUAAUACAUGCAAGUCGAGCGAACAGACGAGGAGCUUGUUCCUCUUACGUUAGCGGCGGACGGGUGAGUAACACGUGGAUAACCUACCUUUAAGCCGGGGAUAACUUCGGGAAACCGGUGCUAAUACCGGAUAAUAUAUUUAACCGCAUGUUUCAAUAUUGAAAGACGGUUUUGCUUCACUUAAUAGUUGUACCGCCUCGAAUUAGCUAGUUGGUAAGGUAAAGGCUUACCAAGGCAACGAUGCGUAGCCGACCUGAGAGGGUGAUCGGCCACACUGGAACUGAGAAACGGUCAAGACUCCUACGGGAGGCAGCAGUAGGGAAUCUUCCGCAAUGGGCGAAAGCCUGACGGAGCAACGCCGCGUGAGUGAUGAAGGUCUUCGGAUCGUAAAACUCUGUUAUUAGGGAAGAACAAAUGUGUAAGUAAAUAUGCACGUAUUGACGGUACCUAAUCAGAAAGCCACGGCUAACUACGUG
rnacentral:rRNA from 1 species